UGAUUCCUUAUACCAAUUUCAACAAAUCUCUCGACUCUGCAUGUCAUGGUGAAUUCUUUGCGGUGUGCUGGACCGGACUCCUGGGUGACUGUGUACUCUGGCAAACGCCAUCCUUUCUGCACCACCAAUUCCUGGCAAAGAAGCAUACAGAGCUCCUACAGGGUUACAUUCAGACUGCUGAGAACUGCCUGAGGUCUUCAUCUCUGACUGGGAGCUGUGCAGAAGAUGAGAUAAAACAAAAACAGAAGAGGAAGUAAUGAAACCACACAGAUCUCCGUCUCAAAACGCUUUGUCAUGCUGACAUUAACUGAGUCAAGUUUCAUUUGAACUUUAGAGUUUGUGUAAAGAAAACAAUUAAACAAGAAACUGACCCGUCUCCAUCAGUAGACACGUCAACCCCAAUAAAACCGUCUACUCCAACACCAACUCCGGCGGGACCUCCAAGGCCUCCUUUGAGCAUCUUCAGAGCAGCCUCGGCUGCUUUGUGCUUGGCUGCCUUCUUGCUGGGCCCUUGGCCGGUGCAGCUGAUCUCUCCGACGGAGACGCGGAACGUGAAGUUGGGCUGGUGGGCCUGUCCCUCGGCCUUCAGCAGGUCAUACACUGGGGUCUUGCCUAUCCGCGUUCCAUAUUCCUGCAGCAGACUGAUGGGCGUCUUUCCGGGAUUCACAGCCAGCAUUUGCUCAAUACUAAACAAAAGAAAAACCCAGCAUGAGAAGGACUGUUUAGAAAAUAGCGUUAUUCCUACCUUUUAAGAAACAUUGAAUAAGUCUUUGCAUGAUUAAUUCAGGAAUGUGUUCUUGUCCUUUUGUUUGCUAUGAUAACCUUUUAUUGCUUUUAAUGGAUGACAGCUAUAGAGUGACAGGAAUUUACUGCAUUUUACGAUGCUCUGAAAAUUGACUUGAAUGUGUCUUUCUAGAAACAAUGUCCAGCUUGUUCAAAUCUAUAAAACUUACUCUGAAAGUAACCAUAAA